UACAGCAAUUAUUUAAUAAAUUAAAUACCUAAAAAGGAGCAGUUUUUCUGUUACAUACUUGAGGACUUUCAAGCGACAAAGUGGUUCAAAUGCAGAAGUACACAUUGUUCAAUUUCAUAGCCAGUCUAUACCGAUUAGUGAUGUGAAACCACUCAAUAUAAAACUGCGCUGGGUGAUUAUGAUACUUCGUUAGGGGACUUAUAACACAUUAUGUAGCCAUUGAUUUCAACCUGUCCACAUGCUGAUUUAAAUCUUCACCAUUUAUCUUCUUAUUGAUCUUUUUAGCCUUUCUCCAUUCUCAUUGUUUAUUGAAUGAGCUCUGGUUCACAAUAAAAACUAUGCAAUUAUAGCAGAGAAUAGAGAUGUCAGAGGGGAGAUUACAGGUGUGAAAAAUUAAACGCUGUGGUUCCACCUUUGACCAUAACCAAUGAAAUCCCUUUGAGCACAUUUCUUCUUUCUUUUUCUGACGCUCCAUUGAUCCCUGUAGAGAUUCAGAGUCGCAGCAGAGACUUUGCUAGAGAAGAAACCCUGGAGCUCAUAGGAAUGCGUUAUCUUUUUCAUGGACACUUCAGCUGGGUAGCUGAGACACAUUUAAGAAACAAAUAAAAUGAAACAAAAUCUAAAAUAAAAGGCUGAAAAUCACUCACUUCUUUCCUUUCUUUCAGAUUUGUCAGCAUGACAACAGUUGCUACUUUCUGCUCCCAUAUCAUCCUCCAGAAAUCUGCAACAGUUUCUUCUUUUGGACCUGUAAGCCAAAGGCACUUGUACAGAACACAGAAGACUCUGCCUUAUGACCACCUGUUACUCCAACCUCCAGGCGGAGAAGGGGGGAUGCUUACAUUGUACUCCUCCCUGAAGAGCUUGCCAUCAUCAGCAGAGCGGAGCCUGUACUCCUCCUCGAGGUGGUCCACUGGGAUGGGGAAGUAGGUCUUAGAGGCUGAAGGGGAUCUGGGCAGAAGAACCACCGUCUGUUGCUCUGUGUGGAGAACAGUAGGUUUAUCAACCCUGCUGGCCUGAUAUAGUUUAAUGUUAUGAUGGUGUAUUAUUUGUUGUGUUAAAGAAAAUAACUGAUUUCACUUAGCAAAUUAUUGAAUUAUUAACAAAUGACCAGUUCAGAGAAAGGAAUUAUGUAACAGAAUUGGGUUUAAUUAGACCAGUUGUUCCCACACAGGCCUAUCAGAUGAACUUCAAGUACCCUGUCACAAAACCACCUGUCCUGUUUCAAAUGUUUUUAUAUAAAUUAACUAUAUAAAAGUGGAUAUUAUUACAAUAACGUUUUCAUACAA